AUCAGUUUCCCCCUAAAUAUUUUAUUAUACAAGUUGUACUGAUGAAAAUACACAACAGAUCAUAUUUUUUCUUUCUUUUGUUUUGCUUUGAGAACGAGCUGGCUAUUCACAGUGAAAAUCUUGUCCAACAGGUACAGCUGGGUCUGCCAGCAUUUGGGUUGUACGUGAAGGAGAGGAUCUUUCACUUUAUAAUCUUUUCACUGUGUCUGGAAACACAAAGUUCUUCUGCAAGGAAAAAUGUGAGCGAGCAGAAAACAUCCUCAUUAAAACAGAUGAAACCACAGCUCAGAGCGGCAGAUACAGCAUUAAAUACAAAGAUGCAGCUUCAGGAAGAGGAAGCCUGACUUUUACCAUCACAAAUAUGAGAAAGUCUGACUCAGGAAUGUACCGGUUUGGUUUGGGUAAAUCUUCAGCUCCAGAUUCAUACUCAGACUUUGAGGUCAGAGUUUCAAAUGAAAUUGCUAAAAACUCUAGAGUCUCCCGUGCACAGAGUGAGGGAGAAGAAAUCUCAUUUCCAUGUGCCACUGCUGUCCAGGCACAGAGGAAGUUCCUUUGUAAGAAUCCGUGUGAGAAAGAAGGAAAUAUCUUCAUUGACACAACUAAUGACAAAGUUCAGAAUGGCAGGUACAGCAUUGAAUACACAAAAGGAUCUGGGUUUGAACUUCUAGCAACCAUCAGACAUCUGACCAAGUCUGACACGGGACAGUACAGGUGUGGUUACGGGGACCCUUUAUCUCCUGAUUCAUAUGACACUGAAAUUAUUUUGGUUGUAGAUGUGGUGACUUACACUUCUACUCAGGUCUGCGCCUUCAAAGGAUCAACAGCAGAAAUACACUCCAAAUUCAGAUACCUAUCGACUAUAAAUGACAUAAAGACAAGAAUCCAGAAAAUGUUCUGGUUUACUACAGUCAAAGAUAAUGAGCCUGUGGACCUGAAAACAGAUCCAGAGUAUUCAGGUCGAGUUCAGUAUCAGUGUGAAAACAACGACUGCACUCUGAGAAUCUCAGACCUGAGAGAGAGCGACUCAGCUGAGCACAAGUUCAUGCUCAUAACAAACGAUCCAGGAGGGAAAUAUACUGGAUCACCUGGAGUCACUUUGACUGUUACAGAUCCACAGCUCCAGGUACAUGUGAGGAGAUCAACAGUAAACUCUUAUUCUAACUGGACAGAGCUGACAUGUCACAACAACUGUCAGCUACCUGAUCAAUCUUCCUACAUCUGGUACAGGAAUGGACACAAACUUUCAUCAGAAAAACAAUAUUUACAGCUGAACACAUUUGAUACUGUAGACAGUCUUUACUGUGCUGUGAAAGGAUAUGAGCCAUUCCCUUCUCCAACAGUGUAUGCUCCAAAGCUUCCCUCUGUGUCAGUGAGUCCCUCUGCUGAGAUAGUGGAGGGCAGUUCAGUCACUCUGACCUGUAGCAGUGAUGCUAACCCAGCAGCUAGUUACACCUGGUACAAGGAGGAUGUCAUCAACCCUCUCAGUUACCAAAACCAACAUGUUUUCAGCUCCAUCCUGCUCUCUGACUCUGGAAAGUAUUACUGUACAGCUGAUAAUGACCUGGGACAAAAGAGAUCUGAAAGCAGAAUUAUUGAUGUGAAAUAUGCUCCUAAGCUUCCCUCUGUGUCAGUGAGUCCCUCUGCUGAGAUAGUGGAGGGCAGUUCAGUCACUCUGACCUGUAGCAGUGAUGCUAACCCAGCAGCUAAUUACACCUGGUACAAGGAGGAUGUCAUCAACCCUCUCAGUUACCAAAACCAACAUGUUUUCAGCUCCAUCCUGCUCUCUGACUCUGGAAAGUAUUACUGUACAGCUGAUAAUGACCUGGGACAAAAGAGAUCUGAAAGCAGAAUUAUUGAUGUGAAAUAUGCUCCAAAGCUUCCCUCUGUGUCAGUGAGUCCCUCUGCUGAGAUAGUGGAGGGCAGUUCAGUCACUCUGACCUGUAGCAGUGAUGCUAACCCAGCAGCUAACUACACCUGGUACAAGGAGGAUGAAAAUUUACCAAAAGCAUUUGGACAGAACUUCACCGUCACCAAGUUCAGACCUGAACACAGUGGGCGUUAUUACUGUGAAGCCCAGAACAAGCUGGGACGUCAUAACUCCACCUUACAGCAGACCAUUGUGCCAGGAGCAAAGAAAAUAAAAGCUGCUGGAGUAACUGCUGCUGUUCUCCUGUCUGUCACAUCCCUCCCUGUCUUCCUUUGGAUUCGAAAAAAGAGGAAUUCCAAGGAAUCAUCCAAGACUGAAGGCAGAGCAGACAACAAAGAACAGUGUCUCUCUGAUCAGGAGGAGCCACAGGAACAGGAUGAUCUUCAGUAUGCCAGCAUCCACUUCUCUAAAAACCAGGCAGAUCCUCUCUACAGCGUCAGUUCAGCCCCACAGACACCUGGAGGAACAGGAAGUUACACUUAAAAACUGAAAACUAUUUGAAUGAAAGAGUCCAGGCAACUAAUCAGUCUUCCUAGAUUGUAUCACAUCAUCUCAACAAGAAUAAAUGUAACAAAGUUGUUGAACUUCAUGCAGAUCGUACAUGAUUUAAUUACGCUCACCACAGAAACAUAAAUUUUUUUUUUUUUUCAAAUUACAAGUUUGACUCUUGUUAAUAUAAAAACCACCUACUUUCACUUUUUUGAGUUUACUGUGUUACACCGCUGUUAAAUUAAAUUAAAAAGUACAGCCCUGUGGUGAGCAGCUCCUCACAUAAUACAAUGAGCCUCGCUAGAAGAUUCAAAUGAAUAUCUGGGAAAUGCAUUGCCUGCUUUAGCAUUCUUCUUCUGUUUUUAAGCUUGUUUUUUUUCACCAUCAUAAUAUAAUUUCAUGCUACAUACUCAGAAUCAACUAAUUUCUGGUCAACAAAGCCAUAAUUCCCAUUAGCAGAAAGAAGCUGCAUCAUGGGAGGUUUGGUCUGUUCACUCAGUGAGCAUCAUAAUUUAGCCAGCAUGGUGGCUACUGGAGCUAGUUCUCUAGUUCUUUUGCUGCUCUUUUUCUUUCCUUAUCACUUGUAGAAAAAUACACGUAUGUGAUCAAACAUGAUUAUCAUAGUAUGUUUUCUGAUGUUUGAUAUCCUGAUGUAUUAUUAUCAUGAUUGCAUUUAUUUGAUAAACUAUCAACUUUUUUAACAAACAAUUAAAUAACACCUGAUUUUUCAGUAAUCUUAACACUUCAUCAGAGUGAUAUAAGAUAGGUUUCUCUAUAUAAGGCUACGUCCACACGUACACGGGUAUUUUUGAAAAUGGAGAUUUUCCGUUUUCGUUUUAAAAAAUAAUCCCGUCC